rnacentral:rRNA from 1 species
UGCGUAGGCGGUCUAUUAAGUCAGUGGUGAAAUCCUGCGGCUCAACCGUAGAACUGCCAUUGAUACUGAUAUUCUUGAAUGUAGUUGAGGUAGGCGGAAUGUGUAAUGUAGCGGUGAAAUGCUUAGAUAUUACACAGAACACCGAUUGCGAAGGCAGCUUACUAAACUAUGAUUGACGCUGAGGCACGAAAGCGUGGGGAGCGAACAGGAUUAGAUACCCUGGUAGUCC